GCAUAUAUAUAUAUAUAUAUAUAUACAUCUAUUUGUAGCUUAAAUAUUAAAAAAUAAUUAUGCACUUAUAUAUUUCUGUCUGUCUGUGUAUAACUAUUUGAAAGUUUUUUUUUUUUUUACAUAUGUAAAGGUGUAUACACAAAGUUAUUAGCAUAAGCAAAAAAACAAAAAAAAUAAAAAAAUAAAAAAAUAAAAAAAAUAAGUAAAUGCAUAUUCACUUUCUCAUUUUAUUGGUUCGUUUAUGUUAUUUAUCUAUUUAUUUAUUUACUUAUUUAUUUAUUUAUUUACUUAUUUAUUUAUUUAUUUAUUUAUUUACUUAUUUAUUUACUUAUUUAUUUAUUUAUUUACUUAUUUACUUAUUUAUUUAUUUAUUUAUUUAUUUACUUAUUUAUUUAUUUACUUAUUUAUUUAUUUAUUUACUUAUUUAUUUACUUAUUUAUUUAUUUGUUUAUUUAUUUGUUUAUUUUUUUUUUAUUUUGUAGAAUAUUAUUCCUAUGAUAGCUGUACCUAGCAAAAGAAACUAUUUUCAUGAAAAUGUAAGCAACGGGGAAGGUAAAAAGUCAUCAGAGCCUAUUUUUCAAAAAAAUAAGAAUAGUAAUAAAAAAAAUAUAAAUAAAUUUACAAAUAACAUACCGAGCUAUAUAACUAAAAGAAAUAAUUUUAAGUUAAGGAACAAAGCGGAGAUUAGUUUUUUUAGAAAUGACUUAGACGGUGGUAGUAGUAGUAGUAGUAUUAGUAGUAGUAGUAGUGGUAGUAGUAGUAGUAGUGGUAGUAGUCACGAGAGUUUUAUUAACAGUAAGCACGAGAGUGGUACUAGUGAUGAACAAAAUAAUAGUGACAAUAGCAUGGUUAUUAACGAUUCUGUUGAUAUUGAGGAGAAUAGUGACAAUAGCAUGGUUAUUAACGAUUCUGUUGAUAUUGAGGAUAAUCAUGAAAACCAUUUAAAAGGUAUUUUAAAAAAAAAAUCAAAUAAAAUUACAUAUUUGACAAAGACAAAUGUAGAACCAAGUGAACAAUAUACUUUUCCCCUUAAACAACUGAAAGAUAGUCAAUAUGUUGGGAUGAUAAUGGUGGGAAACCCUCCUCAAAUGAUUAGACCUAUCUUUGAUACAGGAACAAUGUGUGGGUAGUAAGCACAAGUUGUAAUGAUAAGACUUGUAAGAAAGUAAACAGGUUUAACCCCAAAGCAUCACGAACUUUUAGGUACUAUAAGCCGCUUACCCAUUUAGAUAUAAUGGUAAUAUAUAUAUAUAUAUAUCUCCAUGUUCUCACAAAUACAUACAUACUUACUUAUAUAUGUAUGUAUGUAUAUAUACAUUAUCGUUUUUUUUUUUUU
rnacentral:lncRNA from 1 species